rnacentral:rRNA from 1 species
ACCUGCCCUAUGAAUAAUUUGCUUUUAAAUGGCUGCGGUACUCUGACCGUGCAAAGGUAGCAUAAUAAUUAGUUUCUUAAUUGGGAACUGGAAUGAACGGUCGAACGAGAAAAAUACUGUCUCAAUUUAAUUUAAAUUAGAAUUUUAUUUUUUAGUAAGAAAGCUGAAAUAUUCUUAAAAGACGAGAAGACCCUAUAGAGUUUUAUAUAAAUAAUUUUAGUUGAAAGUUAAAGUAUUAUAGAUUUAAUUAUAAUGGUUUAUAUUUGGUUGGGGCGAUUAAAAAAUUUAAUAAACUUUUUUUGAGAUUAAACCAUUAAUUUAUGAAUAGGUGAUCCAUAUUUUAUGAUUAAAAGAUU